UAGGAAAUCUUGCGCAAUGGGCGAAGGCCUGACGCAGCCAUGCCGCGUGAAUGAUGAAGGUCUUAGGAUUGUAAAAUUCUUUCACCGGGGAAGAUAAUGACGGUACCCGGAGGAGAAGCCCCGGCUAACUUCGUGCCAGCAGCCGCGGUAAUACGAAGGGGGCUAGCGUUGCUCGGAAUUACUGGGCGUAAAGGGCGCGUAGGCGGAUGUUUAAGUCGGGGGUGAAAGCCCGGGGCUCAACCUCGGAAUUGCCUUCGAUACUGGACAUCUUGAGUACGGGAGAGGUGAGUGGAACUCCGAGUGUAGAGGUGAAAUUCGUAGAUAUUCGGAAGAACACCAGUGGCGAAGGCGACUCACUGGCCCGUUACUGACGCUGAGGCGCGAAGGCGUGGGGAGCAAAACAGGAUUAGAUACCCUGGUAGUCCACGCCGUAAAACGAUGAGUGCUAGUUGUCGGCAUGCAUGCAUGUCGGUGACGCAGCUGACGCAUUAAGCACUCCGCCUGGGGAGUAC
rnacentral:rRNA from 1 species